rnacentral:rRNA from 1 species
AGGAUUCCCCUAGUAACUGCGAGUGAAGCGGGAAAAGCUCAAAUUUAAAAUCUGGCGGUCUCUGGCCGUCCGAGUUGUAAUCUAGAGAAGUAAUGCCCGUGCUGGACCGUGUAUAAGUCUCCUGGGAUGGAGCGUCAUAGAGGGUGAGAAUCCCGUCUUUGACACGGACUACCAGUGCAUUGUGGUAUGCUCUCAAAGAGUCGAGUUGUUUGGGAAUGCAGCUCAAAAUGGGUGGUAAAUUCCAUCUAAAGCUAAAUAUUGGCGAGAGACCGAUAGCGAACAAGUACCGUGAGGGAAAGAUGAAAAGAACUUUGGAAAGAGAGUUAAACAGUACGUGAAAUUGCUGAAAGGGAAACGCUUGAAGUCAGUCGCGUUGGCCAGGGAUCAGCCUUGCUUUUGCAUGGUGUACUUUCUGGUUGACGGGUCAGCAUCAAUUUUGACCGCUGGAAAAGGGCCUGGGGAAUGUGGCAGCUUCGGCUGUGUUAUAGCCCCUGGUCGCAUGCAGUGGUUGGGAUUGAGGAACUCAGCACGCCGCAAGGCCGGGUUUCGACCACGUUCGUGCUUAGGAUGCUGGCAUAAUGGCUUUAAGCGACCCGUCUUGAAACACGGACCAAGGAGUCUAACAUGCCUGCGAGUAUUUGGGUGGAAAACCCGAGUGCGUAAUGAAAGUGAAAGUUGAGAUCCCUGUCGUGGGGAGCAUCGACGCCCGGACCAGAACUUUUGGGACGGAUCCGCGGUGGAGCAUGUAUGUUGGGACCCGAAAGAUGGUGAACUAUGCCUGAAUAGGGUGAAGCCAGAGGAAACUCUGGUGGAGGCUCGUAGCGAUUCUGACGUGCAAAUCGAUCGUCAAAUUUGGGUAUAGGGGCGAAA